GGAAUCUUCCACAAUGGACGAAAGUACUGAUGGAGCAACGCCGCGUGAGUGAAGAAGGGUUUCGGCUCGUAAAACUCUGUUGUUAAAGAAGAACAUAUCUGAGAGUAACUGUUCAGGUAUUGACGGUAUUUAACCAGAAAGCCACGGCUAACUACGUGCCAG
rnacentral:rRNA from 1 species